rnacentral:rRNA from 1 species
CCAGUCUGGAAGAAUCUGGAGACAGGUGCUGCAUGGCUGUCGUCAGCUCGUGUCGUGAGAUGUUGGGUUAAGUCCCGCAACGAGCGCAACCCUUGCCUUUAGUUGCCAGCAGUUCGGCUGGGCACUCUAAAGGGACUGCCGGUGUUAAACCGGAGGAAGGUGGGGAGUGACGUCAAGUCCUCAUGGCCUUUAUGACCAGGGCUACACACGUACUACAAUGGCCGAUACAAAGGGCAGCGACACUGCGAGGUGAAGCCAAUCCCGUAAAAAUCGGUCUCAGUCCGGAUUGGAGUCUGCAACUCGACUCCAUGAAGUUGGAAUCGCUAGUAAUCGUGGAUCAGCAUGCCACGGUGAAUACGUUCCCGGGCCUU